UACGUAGGGUGCGAGCGUUGUCCGGAAUUACUGGGCGUAAAGAGCUCGUAGGUGGUUUGUCGCGUUGUUCGUGAAAACUCACAGCUUAACUGUGGGCGUGCGGGCGAUACGGGCAGACUGGAGUACUGCAGGGGAGACUGGAAUUCCUGGUGUAGCGGUAGAAUGCGCAGAUAUCAGGAGGAACACCGGUGGCGAAGGCGGGUCUCUGGGCAGUAACUGACGCUGAGGAGCGAAAGCGUGGGGAGCGAACAGG
rnacentral:rRNA from 1 species